NNNNNNGCUAGCCUCGAGAUGAGAGUAUUGGAGGUAGAGCACUGAUUGGACUAGGGGCCCCCAACGGGUUACCGAAUUCAGUCAAACUCCGAAUGCCAAAUACUUAUUCUCGGGAGUCAGACUGCGAGUGAUAAGAUCCGUAGUCAAGAGGGAAACAGCCCAGACCACCAGCUAAGGUCCCCAAGUUUACGUUAAGUGGAAAAGGAUGUGGAGUUGCUUAGACAACCAGGAUGUUGGCUCAGAAGCAGCCAUCAUUUAAAGAGUGCGUAAUAGCUCACUGGUCGAGUGACUCUGCGCCGAAAAUGUACCGGGGCUAAACGUAACACCGAAGCUGUGGAUGGAUACCGUAUGGUAUCCGUGGUAGGAGAGCGUUCUAAGGGCGUUGAAGCUAGACCGGAAGGACUGGUGGAGCGCUUAGAAGUG
rfam:Bacillus sp. FJAT-27997 Scaffold1, whole genome shotgun sequence.